rnacentral:rRNA from 1 species
UACGGAGGAUGCGAGCGUUAUCCGGAUUUAUUGGGUUUAAAGGGUGCGUAGGCGGGCUUUUAAGUCAGCGGUAAAAAUUCGGGGCUCAACCCCGUCCGGCCGUUGAAACUGGGGGUCUUGAGUGGGCGAGAAGAAGGCGGAAUGCGUGGUGUAGCGGUGAAAUGCAUAGAUAUCACGCAGAACCCCGAUUGCGAAGGCAGCCUUCCGGCGCCCUACUGGCGCUGAGGCACGAAAGUGCGGGGAUCGAACAGG